rnacentral:rRNA from 1 species
UUUAGACUUAAGAGCUAUUCAAAUAAGGCACAGCUUAUUUGAAAUAGGACACAACCUACAACAUAGGGUAAACUAGAGUGACCUAAAUAAAGUGGGCCUAAAAGCAGCCACCUUUAGAAAAGCGUUAAAGCUUAACUACCUUCACUCAUAAUGCCUAAAAUCUCCACUAACCCUUCAUUACUACUGAACAAUUUUAUACUCAUAUAAAAGCUAUCAUGCUAGAACUAGUAACAAGAAACUGCUUUUCUCCUAAAUGUAAACAUAAACCAAAAUAGACUCUCUAUUGGUUAUUAACGUAAAUGCUAAACUGUAGCAACACUCACUAGAAAAUCCUAUAAACCCCAACGUUAACCUUACACCAGAACAUUACAGGAAAGAUUAAAAGAAAAAGAAGGAACUCGGCAAAUUUUAGCCUCGCCUGUUUACCAAAAACAUCGCCUCUUGACAAAACAUAAGAGGUCCAGCCUGCCCAGUGACAAAGUUCAACGGCCGCGGUACCCUAACCGUGCAAAGGUAGCACAAUCACUUGUUCUUUAAAUGAGGACUCGUAUCAACGGCACUACGAGGGCUAUACUGUCUCCUUUUUCUAAUCAGUGAAACUGAUCUCCCCGUGAAGAAGCGGGGAUUAUAAUAUAAGACGAGAAGACCCCAUGGAGCUUUAAACUCACCAUGCACCUCUGUGCUCCUAUACCCCUAAACACAACAGACCUGCAUGUUAGUUUUAGGUUGGGGUGACCACGGAGUAUAACUUAACCUCCACAGCAAACGGGCUAAUACCCUUAUCCACGAGACACAACUCUAAGAAUUACUAAAUUAAUGCUUACGACCCGAUAUUCGAUCCAUGAACCAAGUUACCCUGGGGAUAACAGCGCAAUCUACUUCAAGAGCCCAUAUCGACAAGUAGGUUUACGACCUCGAUGUUGGAUCAGGGUAUCCCGGUGGUGCAGCCG